GAUGAACGCUGGCGGCGUGCCUAAUACAUGCAAGUCGAGCGAACAGACGAGGAGCUUGCUCCUCUGACGUUAGCGUCGGACGGGGGAGUAACACGUGGAUAACCUACCUAUAAGACUGGGAUAACUUCGGGAAACCGGAGCUAAUACCGGAUAAUAUAUUGAACCUCAUGGUUCAAUAGUGAAAGACGGUUUUGCUGUCACUUAUAGAUGGAUCCGCGCCGCAUUAGCUAGUUGGUAAGGUAACGGCUUACCAAGGCAACGAUGCGUAGCCGACCUGAGAGGGUGAUCGGCCACACUGGAACUGAGAAACGGUCCAGACUCCUACGGGAGGCAGCAGUAGGGAAUCUUCGGCAAUGGGCGAAAGCCUGACGGAGCAACGCCGCGUGAGUGAUGAAGGUCUUCGGAUCGUAAAACUCUGUUAUUAGGGAAGAAAAAAUGUGUAAGUAAAUAUGCACGUCUUGACGGUACCUAAUCAGAAAGCCACGGCUAACUACGUG
rnacentral:rRNA from 1 species